rnacentral:lncRNA from 10 species
UGCGCCCACACGGCUGGCCUGAACAUGAGGCAGUGACUCCCGGCUGGAAGGGACCCCGAGGACAGCAAAUACCGAGAGGAGGCUCACCGCAAAGAAAGGGGAAACUGUCUCCAAACAGUGUCUCUGCCAGCAACCAACCUCGACCCUCCCCACUCCACGGCCAAUGGUCAAGAGUACCUUUUCUAGUCCAAGGAGCAAAAGUCCCAGACUAGCAGUGAUUGGGCCUGAUUGGCUCCUCUUCGGCCACAUGGGCAUCCAUGAGCCAAUCAUAUGGUCAGAGGGACUUACUACUUGAAUGGGUCAGCUCUCGGUCACACGUUCUUCCCCUGGGAGCAGGGUAGUGUUCAUCCACCUGCUGCCCAAGGAUGGCAAAUGGGGCAACUGAGGCUUAAAGGGUACAAGUGGCUGCCCUAAGUCAUGUGGCUAGAGGCUGGAACUCAGGCAGCCUGCCUGCAACCAUGAGGUCUACUGCUGCUGCAUGGAGAAGGGGAGGUUUGAGGGAGGCAGGAGGAUGAGGACCCUGCCUCUUUCUCCAGCCGCACCAACCCAGCUGGAGGGGAGCUGAAAAGGAGGCUGUCGAUUCAAGGCCCGCCCCAAUCCCUGAAAAGGGGCCGUCACUUCGUGUGCCCCUUCCAAGCAGACAAGCAGAGCAAGGAGCAGAUGGGAAGUUGCCCACCCAGGGACCAGCUCCAAACCUUCCAGAAACCUGCAAACAUGAAACAAUCAUAGAUGAGACGAGGCUUGAAAGCCACCAUUUUUAAAAUAAAAGGAAAUCGC